rnacentral:lncRNA from 1 species
GUGGGUGUGACAAAGUAUAACCAAACUGCGUAUGUGCAUUUCUCAGACUUCAGAAGAGGAAACAUCAGAGUAGAGUCCGACAAAAACUGAUACAUCUGAGUAUUUUGAAACCCAGAACACCAACCACGGUAAGACCUUUCUGUUUCUGGUUCAACCCUAGAAAUCUAUCUUAGAUAAGUUAGUGUAAUAUUUGGCUGUAAGUCAAAGUUAAAAAACAAAAUACGGUUUCUUUAACACUGUUAAAUCUUCACUAAAGAGCUUAAGUUAAGUUCAGCAAAAUGUCUUAAGUCAAAAAUACAAUGAAAAAAAACAUAAUUAAAAGAGUCCUAAUUAUAAAAUGGUUGAUAAUUAAUGUAAGAAAAAUGUUUUAAAAGGCCAAAAUAAAAGGUAGUAAGUCACAGUUGUAAGGUGGUAAGUUAAGAUUAAGAGUCAUAAUUAUAAAAUGACUUCAAAGUUAUAAGAAAAAUGAGAAAUAUAUAUCACAAUCUUAAGACAAAUAUAACUAUAUGAUAGAAAGUCAUAAUAUCAAGACAGUGAGUUAUGACUGGGAAAUUUUUCAGAAUUAUCACAAAAAAAUAAAGCUAUAACAUAGUCAUAAAAUUGUAAGUUACAAUUAUGAAAGUAUGUCAUGAUUAUAACAGAGUCAGAGUUAUAAGAGAGAACAUUGUGAUUAUAAGAAAAGUUUAAAUUAUGAAACAUUUUGAUGAGCCUGUCAUCAAAUCAAAUAUACAGACUGUUCAUGAAAACAAAGACUGCCUGAAUGAAAGGGUAUGUUUGAUUAUCAAAUUAAUGAAGAUGUCUCAGAGCUGAAACUUUUAGAGAGGACUUCAGCAGUUUACACAGAGAUGUCCUGAACUGAUUUUUAUAUGAUUUGGCAUGAACAAUAAGAUGCCACAUUUUGCUGUUUCUAUCCUAGAAAGUCUGUGUAGAUGAGACCUGAGAUUUUCAACAGCAUUUACAGAGGCUGGUAGCUUAUUUACACUCUACUGACCUGAAGAGCUGCUUUACUUUUACUUUCAUUCUGACUCAAGAGCUUGUUAUCUUGACGACCAUUCCCCAGUGUGUCUUUAAAUGGUCACGUGAAAUUAAGAGUGAUUACACAGUGCCAAUAUAAACAGAGUUUUCUCAACUUUUUUUCCCUCUGCAGCCAUGGGAGGUGAGGAGUCAAAGCCUGUCCCAGAGCCAAGUAAUAUUAUUUUUGAAUAUUAAAUAAAUCUUUUAUCAAAAUACAAUUUCAGGGAAAAAUUCUGACAAAACCUAAAUUUGUUUUUCUUUCAGUGUUCAGUGAGCCAUGGCGGCAACUCAACUGGAUGUAAGUACUCUCUAAUGUCUAAUGUGCUAUUUUCCUAAAUCACUGGGUGUGUGAUUUACAAAGUGCCAGUGGAUAUACAAAACCAAAUCCUGACAGCAAAGGGUUAACUUUUUGGGGUUUAUUCAGAGUAACGUUUUCUUUUUUUAAACUCUUUGGUUUAUUCCUCUGCUUUGUUUUUAUGUAUGUCUGUGUUUACCUGGGUAAGCACUUAGUAAACCUUUUUGAAAGGUGCAGUAUAAAUACAUUAAUUAUUGGUGUUAUUAUUAUUAUUACAAUUAUAAUUACUAUAUCUGUUAUUAUUAUCUCUGUAAUUACUCAGCUACCAACUAAAUAAACAAAUAAGUUAGCUCCAAGAAUUGAUUAAAAGAUGAUUUUGUUGGUUUAAAAAUGAUUCACUUAUAUUCCUUCAGUUUUAAUGUUUGGUGCUAGUUCAUGCUCACUGCACACCUCUCUUUUGUCAAACUUGUGUCUCUGAUUUUCUGACCUCUGCAAACACACACCUGGCUCCUCCUCCUGCUGUCCUCUCCCCACACAUGGCUGCAUGACAGUUUGAACUGCUGCUGCACAAAGAGCUACAGAUACAUCAGUCUAUGUCCACCUUUUACAACAUCAGCAAAUUACAUGUGCACACAGCUGUGCUGCAAAUUUAUCUGCUCAAAUAAAAAGUGAAGAUUUUUAAAAAGAAUUUAAAAAAGGAUAGGUCUGAGUUAAAGAAUUUCACUCUUGCAAAAAGGAGCAGUCACAAACAGAAAGUCUGUAAGCAAGUGCUCAGAGGACUGUACUCUGACUUUGUUUUAGACACAGGGCGUUAUCAGUUUACAUCAGUCAUAUCGAAACAUAAUCAUCCAUAACAAGCUGUUCACAACUUUCUUUGUUUUGCAGACUGGGUUCAGCUUUUGUUUCCCAGCCUUGACUCAGGGUCAGAACAGAGAUAGACAGUAACAGUGUGUUGCUCAGCAUAUUUCUAUAAAAGCUGUCCUUAAAUUACCUUUGAUGACAUGAGUACAUGUACAAGGACUGGAUAAGAAGAUAUUUGUCCAGAAUCACUACUCAGUGUUCCAACAAAGUAAAUGUUCAGCUUCACAAUGCAAAGAAACUCUUUGCAGCCUGUUCAGCACAAUCGAAUGAGAGUAACCAAGCCCCCAUAUAUCCUGACGUCCAACUGUGUGCACUACCAACAUAAAACACAUAAGAACUAAUGUGGGACUUUUAUGAGAUAGUCACAUGACAGUAUGUGUGUGCACUGACACCUCUCCUGAGCCAUCCUUUCUCUCCCUUCAUAGUUUCACAUCCUGCACUGAAUGUGCACCACGUCAUUAUGCAAAACUAAAAAAAGUUGUGGUUGUUAUCAUUUUAUGUCACACAUCUUUCCUCCUCUGAACAGGGACAGACAAGGCAUUCUGGACUAUGUGAAGAACUACAACCCAAGGACCCCAGGGCAGCAGAUCAGAAUUCUUCUUCAUGGGCCAAAUGCAAGUGGAAAGUCCAGUUUCAUCAACUCUGUUAACAGUCUCUUACGUGCAAGACCGUACAUCAACGCUUUAGCAGACAACACCCACGGCGAAAGUUUUACCAAAGUGGUAUGAUGACUUUUUUGUUGUAACAUAAAGGAAAUGUCUCAAAUUUGUAAUGAUAAUGAAAAAUCUACUAACUCCCAGUGCAUGCCUUGUGUCAUAAUAAUCUUUACUUUUAUUACUUAAAGGGAUGGUUUAGUGGUUUCCAAGUGUGGUCAUUUCAGGUGCUCGUCAAUGUUAAGUGUAUUUGCCAAAGGGAUCCCAGUGACUUGGGCCCCCUUUGCUGAGAAACCACAUAGAGGACUACUACAGGUGGGCUCAGCUCCACCAAGUGAUUUCAAUCAUUUUAAAUCCCAACCAAGGGUUGAGGGUGCUGUUCUUGCAGUGGCUUUACCCAGUGAGGAGGCAGACAACAUCCAUUCUAUAUACAGUCUAUGGGCACAACCAAGAAAUUGAGGCUACAAGAUCCUUAAAGGUUAGCUGGUCAUCAAUCAUGACACUACAGUUUCCAGACAUACUUUGCGUGCAUCAGUUUCUCUGAUCCAAACUGGGUAUCAGUCUGAGUCAAAUGUGGUGUUUCUUCAUCCAUUCAGUCAUAUCACAAAAGCAUAAUGAGAUUUUAGUUGAAAGAGUUGUGUGAGUGUGACAGAAAGAGACGGGUAUUGUCUGCAUAGUAAUUGUUGUUGGCCUGAAAGAAAAAAAAUUCACUUGGACAGUUUUAAGGGACUUACAGUAUCUCACAAAAGUGAGUACACCCCUCACUUUUCUGAAAAUAAUUAUAUCUUUUCAUGGAAUAACACUAAAGAAAUAACACUUUGACACAAAGUACAGUAGUCAGUGUACAGCUUGUGAAAUAGUAUAAAUUUAUUUUUCCCUCAAAAUAACUCAACACACAGCCAUUAAUGUGUACACCCCUGGCAAAAAAAGUGAGUACACCACUAAGUGAAAAUGUCCAAAUCGGGCCCAAAGUGUGAAUAUUUUGUGUGGCCGCCAUCAUUUACCAGCACUUACUUAACCCUCUUGGGCAUGAAGUUCACCAGAGCUUCACAGGUUGCCACUGAAGUCCUUUCACCUUCCCUUUAGGAUGCCCCACAGAUUCUUAAUAUGGUUUAUAACAGUCUUAGCCAACAUAGCACCAGCUAACUUACUGGCUUCUGUCAAUGAGCAUAAGUUCAGACUUUGAGUUUGAAAUCUAACAUGUAGGGGUAUCUAAUGUGGAGGAUUGAAUUCAUUCUGCUCUCAAUCUGUUCAUCUGCCACCUAUUUAGAUUUAAAGCUGCUUUUGGUCGUGAAUAGCAAAAUGUUAGAUUGUUGUGGGAUGCUGAGCUGCUCAGUGAAUACAUUGUUUAGAAGUCUUUAUUACUACUGAGAUGAAGUUAGUAUUAUUACUUUAUGUAAGAUCACGUAAAAGCUGAACAAGCCAAUAGUUAGUAUUUUUUGUAAUAAGAACAGUUUUUUUGUGUGAAGAGGGGUUGGAUUACUGGAUAAAAGAUGAUGGAGGUAAAUAUGUUUACUUUGUUUAAUGGAUGGGGACGAAAAUAUUUAAAAGAAAUCCUGUAUGGGGAAAAAGAUGCAUUGAUAAUCAUGAUAAUCGUUAAAAUCACAAUAAUCAUUGCAUUUGUUUGAUAAUCAAAUUUUAGCACCCUGAACUGGGAUCGCAUUAAAACGUUAGGUGCCCAAGAUGGCCCAACCCAACUAACUACACUCUCCUCCAUCUGUCUUUAAAAGUACAAAACCUACAAGAUCGACAAAGGGACCCCAGGGGCAUAUUACCCUUUUGUGUUCAAUGACAUCAUGGGCCUGCAAAACAGUAGAGGGGUCCUUCCAGAUGAUGUCAAACUGGCUCUGAAAGGACAUGUCAUGGAAAAUUACGAGGUACAUUUACUGCAAACUUUGCACAUUUUUCUUCCAAAAAGAUUUUAACGCAUCAUGUAUUAAAUCAGAAUUCUGUCUUUGUUAACAUGUGUUUCACUGUAAUGUUCUUCAAAUGAAUUUAAAACUGUUUUCCAGUUCAAUCCUGAAUCCAUGUUGACUGAGGAGAAUCAGUUCUAUAAACAAUAUCCGUCUGAGGAUGACAAAGUGACGGUUCUGGUUUGUGUUGUUAAUGCCCACAACAUGUCCAUAAUAAAAGAUGAAACUCUGAGAAUGUUAUGUGACAUCAGGAAGGAAGCCAGUCGCCUGGGUAAGACCAGAAAAACUUUUCCAAUAUUUUUCUCAAGAGUUAGAUAAAACUUUGAAAAAAAAAACACAGUUUAAUUCUUGACAGAUCUUCAAACAGUUCCUCUAGCUGAUUUUGAUAUAUGUAUCUGAAGGAGAACAGUGGCUUUUGAAAUGUUUUUUUCUUUCAUGGGACUCAAAGUUUUGUGUUUGACAGGAAUCCCUCAAGUGGCCAUCCUCACCCACAUUGAUGAGGUCUGUCCUGAAGUCAAGAAAGAUUUAAAAGAUGUCUACAAGUCCAUCUUACUGAAGAAGAAGGUAUGCUUACUUGUUGAUUUCAUGAUUUUGUAAAGAAGGAAUCACACUUUAAAAAGUAGUCUACAAAUGACACACCACUGGGCUCUGUUGCUCAGCACUGUUUUUUCUGCCACAAUGCUGCAGUUAGAUCAGGUGAUGAAAAAAUGAAGAACAUCAAAAAUUCUAAUUUAUACAAAUAAAUCAAGAAUUAAAUCCAAACCAGAUCUGAAUCUUUGUCCUGUAGUCAGGAUGACAGGAACAGCUCAGUAUCAUCUACAUAGCAGUGAUAUGAGAAUCCACAAGUAUGUAUUAGUGCACUUAGUGGGUUGGACUUCUCCUCUCCGUGAUAACCAAAAAGAUUCCCCUUUGAGUCAGGACACAGACCUAGAGGCCCCACCUAAAGCCAGACUGUAGUCUCCUUCCAAAGUCCUGAACUCCUCGUUUUAGUCCUUCUAAAGUCCCCAUGCUCUAAUAGAGGUCACUCAGAGUCCUUUUCUCCUCAGAGAGGUCAUUUGAAAACCCUGAUAUCCUCAUGGAGGUUAUUCCAAAGUCACUACAUUUCACCCAAACACUCUGAUUGGCAGUGACUGUCCUGAUCAGACCAACCAGGAAACCAGAGACAUGUAGUCCAGAUCCAGUCUUUAUUUGAGACCAGUGUUUUUCUGUCAAAACAUGUAGAGACACCAGGCUAGUAUCAUCGACUCUGAGUUUAAUUGAAUAGAUAAAUGAAACAGCCAUUCUAAAUCAGGCCUCAUUACCUCUUGUUCUGAAGAUCAGCUGCUCAUAAUUCAAAUUUGUUUCACUAGAUGGAGGAGUUCAGUGCAAAGGUGGGGAUCCCGAUGAACUGCAUCUUCCCUGUGAAGAACUACCAUGACGAGAUUGACACCAACAAUGACCUUGAUGUUCUGCUCCUGAGUGCUCUGAAAAACAUCAUCAUCUUUGGAGAAGACUACCUUAACCCCUAACUGCAGUAUUCAGCUGUGUGAUCCAUGCUGCUGAAACCCACAGAGCUAAAUAUUAAAUGUAAUGACCAUUUAAGGUAAUAUUGAAUCAUUGCUUUCUGAAGUGUCUCUUUACUAUGUGCCAAAGUUGAGCUUUAUGUGAUCAGCUUAGCAAACUUUUUUCUGCUUUCAGUGAGUUUAUAGUUCUCUCUUGCUUCUGUGAUUUUUACUCUAUGAAGUUUUAAAAAAAUGCAAAAUUUGAUUUCAAAUGUAUUCAAGACUUUACAUUCACAAUAAGAAACAGACCUUCUUGGUCUAAACUCCUGUCUUACAUUUGUCUUUAUUUUUGGUGUCAAUCAGUAAAACCUGAAUUAAUUAUGUUAUUGCAUAGUGAGUUACAUGUUAAAAUAUUUUUUAAAAACAUGGUAAGAAUAUCUUUGCCUUGAGUUUGUAAUGACCUUCAUGACCUCAGACUUGUUUAGUCAGACAAUUUGGUUUUUAAGUAGACCGAACAAGAUGGAGCAGAGUGUAACGCCACAAAGCUCCAGCAGAGGGCAGCAGGCUGUCAUCUUCUGAAGCUUUACCCUCUGUUAGGGGCUCACAUGAAAUCUCUGAGAGUUCAUGCAGAUCUACAUUUGAGACAAAAUCAAAUUUGUAAUUUUCAUGUUCUGUCAUGAAAUUACUAAAUUUUUUAGGGGUCCAGCUUGAGAUCACAAAGAGUGGGACAAAUAUACAGGAAGUGCUUACCAUCAAAUGUAAAUCAAGGAUGUGACUUUAGUCAUCAGUUUCUGGUCACUCGUCUUGUACUACGGUUUUCAUAUUCUGUCCAUAAAUGAACAAAGUUUGGUUACAGUUUGUCUCAGUGUACCACCCCAGUUCAAAAAAGUAAAGACACCAUGUGAAAUUGGAUCAAAAAUAGGUCUUGGACAAGAUAUUAAUGCUGACACUGAAACAUUUGAUCAUUUGAUGAAAAAUACGUUGGUUUGUUUUUAAGUUUGAUGGUAGCAGUACAUUUCAAAAAGUUGGAUGAGGACAACAAAACUCUGAAUACGUCGUUUAAUGCUAAAAACAUCAGCUGGAGGAACAUCUCCAACUAAUGAGGUUAAUUUCCAACAGGUUAGUAACAUGAGUGAGUAUAAAAAAGACAUUCAGAGAGACGGAGUCUCUCAGAAGGAAAGAUGGGAAGAGGUUCACCACUCUGUGAGAGACUGCAUGAGCUAAUAGUUGAAAAGUUUCAGAAUAAUGUCCCUGAGUGUCAAAUUUGAAAGAAUGAGUGGAUUUCAUUAUCUACACUGCAUAAUAUCAUUGGCUCUUGUAGUAUACCAUGUUUAUUUUCUCAAAAGUCAUGUUUCAAAACAAGAGAUUUCACAAGACGUGUAUGGUGCAUUUCGUUCAGCUCACCAUUCUACACUGUGUACAAUGCACACCGAGAACAGUGUAGCGAUAGGAAUGAAUAACAAGUGUCCUGAGAUAAUAAUCUUAAAUCAUGACAUUUAUGCACUCAUUGAAAGGGGCACGACCCACCUUAAUGACGGUAGAAAUAAAGAAAAACAAAGGUUUAAUUCAGAAAUCAAACAUUAAGUUAAUCUUAAAUCAAUUUUAAAUCAAUCUCAUAUCUCAAGCCGACAUUCUCAUUUCAGGAACUCCACUUCUGGAAGAACACUAACAGACAAGAACUUAGAAAAAUAAUGUUCGGUUUAUCGCCGGGUAAAUACUGGUCCAACACACAUGCAGUAAAUGAUGAUAAGAUAAUGAGGAUAAAUAAUGAAAGAUGAAUGAAAGAUUCUGAGUCAGGCUAUGAUUUCUAAAGUUAAUGAUAGUGUGUGAAUACGCUCUAACAUAUUAACCUACAUUAACUUUGGUGUAGAGAUAAAUUUGGAUGUGGAUCUGGAUGAAUUUAGGAUUACUCAAAUUAGCGAUUAUUUGAAUCAUGAACGCACUUAAUCUUGGAUUGCUAUGUGCACAAAAGUAGCUGAAGUUGUUUUGUUUUGUGUAGCGCUGCGUAAGUCAAAUCCACUGCACCGAUGAGGCGUGCCCAAGCACACUUCGGUAUUUUGGUGAGCAGCGCAGCCCGGAUUUAGUAUCUCCCCUCCCUAACUCAGCUCCUCCCAGCGGUGUAAGUAGUACAGAGGGAGGGGAUAAGGCAUGGAGUGGGUUUGACACAGCCGAGUCCUGUUUUCACCAAUCACAUCAGCUCCUCUCCUCACCUUUAAAUCCGCCACCACGAGGCAUUUUACAAUUUUCAUCAAGUGGUUUGAAAGAUCAGGAGAUGGCUGAAGACAGCAAUGCAACACAAUGGCGACAGAAGGCAGCCCCUCAACAAGUGUCACUGUAAGCACUGCAGAGGGCAUCCUCCACACUCUCUCAUAUCACACGUCCCGGGUGGAAGCGAGAAGACUGACGCAACAGCAGACUGACUGUUUGCAGUUCCGAUUAGACAACAGCGUUGAGAUGACUGUCUGUAGCAUGUAGCAUACUAUUCUGCUGGUCACCCAAGGUUUGCUGUUGGAGAAACACCGUAUUUUCCUGGUGGGUACGGUGUUAUCAACACAGAAGUUUAUAUCGUCCGUGACAAUCUGUCAUGGUGUCGAUGUCAUCACCAUGUGGGCCGCACAGUACAUCCCAGUCUGUAGUCUCAAAACAGUCCUGCAACACCUCAGUCAUACCCAAAGUUUUAUUGUCUCUCGUUGGGCAGUUGGGCCAGAGAUGAUGAUCAGAGACUGAGGGUGUGAUGUUUGUAGCUUGGACACUUCACUAUGGAGGAGUUCACAGGCUGCAGCAGCAUCAGCCGAGGGGAGGAAAAGAUGUCAUCACAUCUUUGUCAUCUUUGUCAAGAUGUGAUGACAAAUGUUUAUCUGAUCGAGUGGUCCUGCAGUUCUUUCCUGCUGGCCAUAAACGAUUCUGUCUCUGUCUCUGUCUCUUUGAAGUGGAAAGGUUUGUCUUUUUGAGAAGGCUUCUUUGUUUGUCUUGUAUAGAGACAGGAGGUUUUACAAAGAUUGUGAUUUGGUGUUAAAGGUCUAAAACAUCUUGUCUCUGGUGAGCAGAUGUAAGCCUUACAUUCCUUUGGGGGGUUGUGUUAAAAAAGUGGUCACCUCUGCUACAACAGAGAGGCAGGAGGAGAAAGAGAAACUAAAAUCGACAGGAUAGGAAAUCCUGUGGCUGUGACAAAGUAUAACCAAAUUGCGUAUGUGCAUUUCUCAGACUUCAGAAGAGGAAACAUCAGAGUAGAGUCCGACAAAACUGAUACAUCUGAGUAUUUUGAAACCCAGAACACCAACCACGGUAAGACCUUUCUGUUUCUGGUUCAACCCUAGAAAUCUAUCUUAGAUAAGUUAGUGUAAUAUUUGGCUGUAAGUCAAAGUUAAAAAAACGAAAUACGGUUUCUUUAACACUGUUAAAUCUUCACUAAAGAGCUUAAGUUAAGUUCAGCAAAAUGUCUUAAGUCAAAAAUACAAUGAAAAAAACAUAAUUAAAAGAGUUCUAAUUAUAAAAUGGUUGAUAAUUAAUGUAAGAAAAAUGUUUUAAAAGGCCAAAAUAAAAGGUAGUAAGUCCCAGUUGUAAGGUGGUAAGUUAAGAUUAAGAGUCAUAAUUAUAAAAUGACUUCAAAGUUAUAAGAAAAAUGAGAAAUAUAUAUCACAAUCUUAAGACAAAUAUAACUAUAUGAUAGAAAGUCAUAAUAUCAAGACAGUGAGUUAUGACUGGGAAAUUUUUCAGAAUUAUCACAAAAAAAUAAAGCUAUAACAUAGUCAUAAAAUUGUAAGUUACAAUUAUGAAAGUAUGUCAUGAUUAUAACAGAGUCAGUGUUAUAAGAGAGAACAUUGUGAUUAUAAGAAAAGUUUAAAUUAUGAAACAUUUUGAUGAGCCUGUCAUCAAAUCAAAUAUACAGACUGUUCAUGAAAACAAAGACUGUCUGAAUGAAAGGGUAUGUUUGAUUAUCAAAUUUAAUGAAGAUGUCUCAGAGCUGAAACUUUUAGAGAGGACUUCAGCAGUUUACACAGAGAUGUCCUGAACUGAUUUUUAUAUGAUUUGGCAUGAACAAUAAGAUGCCACAUUUUGCUGUUUCUAUCCUAGAAAGUCUGUGUAGAUGAGACCUGAGAUUUUCAACAGCAUUUACAGAGGCUGGUAGCUUAUUUACACUCUACUGACCUGAAGAGCUGCUUUACUUUUACUUUCAUUCUGACUCAAGAGCUUGUUAUCUUGACGAUCAUUCCCCAGUGUGUUUUUAAAUGGUCACGUAACAUCAAGAGUGAUUACACAGAGCCGAAGGAAAAGAGAUGUUAUCAAACAGUUUUUCAAAUGAACUUUGUUUGAGAGCCAAGGCAUCUUUUUUAAGUGGACUUUCUAUUUAAAAGUUUGCAUGUUCAGGAAUACUGUUCAACUCAUUUUGAUUUCAUUGAUUAACUUAUUUGUAUAGAAAGAGGACAGGAAAGCACUCACAGGGUAAUGUUUUGGAUUUUUUCAAAUGUAACCCAGAGAUUUCUUACAAGGAUUUUUUUUUCACAGUUUUCUAGGCUAAUUAUGAUUUUCAGGAAAUAUAAGCAGUUAUUUCCUUUUUUUUCUCUGCAGCCAUGGGAGGGUUGUAUUCAUACUUUCCAGAGCCAAACCCUGAUCCAGAGCCAUGUAAUAUUAUUUUUGAAUAUUAAACAAAUCUUUUAUCAAAAUAAAAUUUUUUGGAAAAAUUCUGACUAAACCUAAAAUUUGUUUUACUUUCAGUGUUCAGUGAGCCAUGGCGGCAACUCAACUGGAGGUAAGUGCUCUCUAAUGUACUAUUUUCCUAAAUCCCUGGGUGUGUGAUUUACAAAGUACCAGUGGAUAUACAAAACCAAAUCCUGACAGCAAAGGGUUAAGAUUCUGAGUUAAGAUCUGUUUUUUGUUGUUGUUGUUGUUGUUUUUUAACUCUCUCGUUUACUCCUCUGCUUUGUUCUUAUGUAUGUCUGUGUUUACCUGGGUAAGCACUUAGUAAACCUUUUUGAAUGGUGCAGUAUAAAUACAUUGGUUAUUAGUAUUAUUAAUAUUACCAUUAAAAUUACUAUAACUGUUAUUAUUAUCCCUGUAAUUACUCAGCUACCAACUAAAUAAACAAAUAAGUUAGCUCCAAGAAUUGAUUAAGAGAUGAUUUUGUUGGUCUAAAAAUGAUUCACUUUUACUCCUUCAGUUUUAAUGUUUGGUGCUAGUUCAUGCUCACUGCACACUUCUCUCUUGUCAAACUUGUGUUUCUGCUUUUCUGACAUAUGCAGACACACACCUUCCUCCUCCCCCCACUAUCCUCUCCCCACACAUGGCUGCAUGACAGUUUGCACUGCUGCUGCAAAAAGAGCUCAAGAUACAUCAGUCUAUGUCCACCUUUUGCAAUAUCUGCAAAUUCCAUGUGCACACAACUCUGCUGCACAUUUAUCUGAGCUAAUAAAAAGUGAAAAUGUUAUGAAGAAUUUAAAAAAGGAUAGGUCUCAGUUAAAGAUUUUUCUUCUUGCAAGAAAGAGCAGUCACAAACAGAGAGUCUGUAAGCAAAUGCUCAGAGGACUGUCCUCUGACUUUUUUUAGACACAGGGCAUUACCACUUAACAUCAGUCAUAACGAAAGCAUGCUCAUCCAUGACAAACUGUUGGCAACUCUUGCUUUCUUUGUUUUGCAGACUGGGUUCAGCUUUUGUUUCUCAGCCUUGACUCAGGGUCAGAACAGAGAUAGACAGUAACAGUGUGUUGCACAGUAUAUUUCUAUAAGAGCUGUCCUUAAAUUACCUUUGAUGACAUGAGUACAUGUACAAGGACUGGAUAAGAAGAUAUUUGUCCAGAGUCACCAUUCAUAGUUCCCCCAUACAUCUGGAAGUCCAUCUGUGUGCACUACUUACAUAAAACACAUAAGAACUAAUGUGGGACUUUUAUGAGAUAGUCACAUGACAGUUUGUGUGUACACUGACACCUCGCCUGAUCCAUCCUUUCUCUCCCUCCAUAGUUUCACAUCCUGCACUGAAUGUGCGUCACUUAAUUAUGCAAAACUAAAAUAAUGUGUGGUUGUUAUCAUUUUAUGUCACACAUCUUUCCUCCUCUGAACAGGGACAGACGAGGCAUUCUGGACUAUUUGAAGAACUACAAACCUAAGACCCCAGAACAAGUGAUCAGAAUUCUUCUUUAUGGGCCACCUGGAAGUGGAAAGUCCAGUUUCAUCAACUCUGUUAACAGUCUCUUACGUGAAAGACCGUACAUCAACGCUUUGGCAAGCCAUAACUACAGCAGAAGUUUCACCACAACGGUAUGACAACUUUUUUGUUGUAACAUAAAGGAAAUGUCUCAAAUUUGUAAUGAUAAUGAAAAAUCUACUAACUCCCAGUGCAUGCCUUUUGUCAUGAUAAUCUUUACUUUUAUUACUUUAAGGGAUGAUUUAGUUGUUUUCAAGUGUGUUAAUUUCAGGUGCUCGUCAAUGUUAAGUGUAUUUGCCAAAGGGAUCCCACAUGACUUGGGCCCCCUUUGCUGAGAUACCACAUAGAGGACUACUGCAGGUGGGCUCAGCUCCAACAAGUGAUUUCAAUCAUUUUAAUCCCCAACCAAAGCACUAAUUUUGGUGUCCACUCUAGGUGAGACUUCAAAAUCAAAGUGUUGCCUUGAUUCACAGAGAUCUUCUACCACAAUCUGUGGUUGGCUUGUUCAUACUGCAGUAUGUCUUUUAUUUAGCUUCAUGGGAAAAAGUCAUGUUAUAGAGGGCUAAAAGGCACAACCAAGCAAUUGAGGCUACAAGAUCCUUAAAGGUUAGCUGGUCAUCAAUCAUGACACCCUAGUUUCCGGACAGACUUUCUGUGCAUGAGUUUCUCUGAUUCAAACUGGGUAUCGGUCAGAGUCGAAAAUGGUGUUUCUUCAUCCAUUCUGAGAUAUCAGAAAAGCAUCAUGAGAUUUGAGCUGAAAGAGUUGUGUGUGGAUGACAGAAAGAGCUGGGAAUUGUCUGCAUAGUAAUUGUACAAAAAACAAUGAGAGACAAUAAUUACGCCAAGAAGGAAUGAAGACUUGAGUUUUAGACUUGGACUUGAGUCCAACUUACGUCGUAUACAGGACAGGCCAAAAGUUUGGACACACCCUCUCAUUUAAUGCAUUUUCUUUAUUCUCAUUACUAUUUGUACUGUAGAUUCUCACUGAGGGCAUCAAAACUAUGAAUGAACAUAUGUGGAAUCAUGUGCUUAAGAAAAAAGUGUGAAAUAACGGAAAACAUGUUUAAGUUUUAGAUUCCUCAAAGUAGCCACCCUUUGCUUUUUUGAUAGCGCUGCAAACUUUUGCUGUUCUCUCAAUGAGCUUCAUGAGGUAGUCACCUGUAUUGGUUUUUACUUCACAGGUGUGCCUUUACCAAGUACUUCUGUCAUCAAGAGCAAAGGGUGGCUAUUUUAUCACACCUGAUUUUCAGCUUCUGGUGCAUGAGCAUCCACACAUAGACUAUAACUAAGAAGGCCACUCAAGCAUAUUUAUUGCCCAAUUUUAGCCUUUUUUCAUCCCCAUGAGAUCUCUGUCCUGAAAUUAAAAUGAUCACUCAUUACCCCUGUGCAUGUUGGGAAAGUUCUGAUGAGAGAUGUAGGCCCCACCUUUUAAUGUUGGCAAAUGACUGUGGUCACAGUCUCAGAGAUAGCUUUGCACUUUCAUUCGUGGCUAUACAAUUCUUAUUUUGCUAUUUUUUAAUCUAUGGGAGACUGGACUGGAUCUUGCUGUUCAGAGACUUUGACUUGGACUCAGAGAAUGAAGAGGAAAGAUUUAAAUUAGGGGUGGGCCAAUGCAUCAGUUCUUCAAUGCAUCACGAUGGAACACGUGACGAUCAAUUAGGAUUAAAAAAUAUUCAAAGUUGAUUAUUUCCCAUGACGUUGAAAUUACAGAAACACCAGUAAGUGUUUAUUUGAGCAGCUUUUUAGGUGAAAAAAAGUGUUGGAUCAUUGGUCUAUUAAAAAUAAUAUAAUGGA